AAGGAAGCAGAGAGUUUGUUACUUUAAACAUAGACUAAGCUAAUUGCUGGGAAACCACUUCAGAAACCUUAACAUUUUUAAGACGUACACCUAGAAAUUUCCAUCUGCUGUGCCCAGCAUGUCCCAGAUGAAGACUUCUCUAAACAAGCAGUUGAACAUGAAGGUCCAGCACUUCCUAGUAAACCACAGUGCCUAGCAGCAGUGACGGUGCAUGGGUGUCCGUCCCACACGGAACCACAGCGCAGCGGACCAGGAUGGGCGAGGCAUCUCCGUCCGUCAGACUCGCUCAGCGGCCAGGACAGAGUCACUCAGAAGGAAGAUAGAGAUGUGAGGAAGAAGCUGAACUGAGAUGCAGUCCCAGUGCAGCUUUGGCCAAUCUGGGGAGAGCAGACUGAGUCAUGGACUCAUCUGCCUUUGGAUUGAAGUGGCUGAGCCUUCAUGCUCCUGUGUUACUCAUCACCAGAUGUGGGGUGCCCAGAAAAGCAUGAAGUCCCGUGAAGGGGUUCUCUCACCUGA